GACAGAGGGUGCAAACGUUGUUCGGAAUUACUGGGCGUAAAGCGCGUGUAGGCGGCCCAGCAAGUCGGAUGUGAAAGCCCUGGGCUUAACCUAGGAAGUGCAUUCGAAACUGCUGGGCUUGAGUUCUGGAGAGGAAGGCGGAAUUCUCGGUGUAGAGGUGAAAUUCGUAGAUAUCGAGAGGAACACCGGGGGCGAAGGCGGCUCCCUGGACAAUUGCUGACACUCAGGCACGAAAGCGUGGGGAGCAAAAGGG
rnacentral:rRNA from 1 species